UUUGCGUGAGAUGGGGGUUGCUCUGAGUUCUCUGUCAGGUUCCUCUCCAGGUUUUGUCCAGGGUUUUGUUUCAAGGAAACCUCAGAGUAUUUUUGCUUCUCUUCCUUUUUUUGACUGAUCUCCCUCUUUUAUAACCUGAUUUUCAUGGCUUUGUGGGCUCAAAUGAGAGAGGUCCAAGUCCAUGUUUUUUCUAUUAUAUUUUAUUUAUUUUUUAUUAUUAUUUUU
rnacentral:lncRNA from 1 species